UACAGAGGGUGCGAGCGUUAAUCGGAAUUACUGGGCGUAAAGCGUGCGUAGACGGUCAUGUAAGUCGGGUGUGAAAGCCCCGGGCUCAACCUGGGAAUUGCAUUCGAGACUGCACGGCUAGGGUGCGGAAGAGGGAAGCGGAAUUUCCGGUGUAGCGGUGAAAUGCGUAGAUAUCGGAAGGAACAUCAGUGGCGAAAGCGGCUCUCUGGGACGGUACUGACGCUGAGACGCGAAAGCGUGGGGAGCGAACAGG
rnacentral:rRNA from 1 species